rfam:Rattus norvegicus strain BN/SsNHsdMCW Contig62331, whole genome shotgun sequence.
ACUCCGGGGGUGAUGGCACCGGCGUAAGGAGUCCCCGGCCAACCUGGAUGGCCGAGCGCUCUAGGCUAGAUCUUUAUCGCGAUUGUAAAAGACGAUGUUUCCUGAGCAGCUGGAGGU